UUUACUUGAAACGGAAAGGGUAGUUGGAAGUGCCCAAAAAUAAACCUCCAGUGUCUUUGACACUUGAUUUUAAUUUGGUACUUCACGUCAAAUGCAAGGUGUGGGACUGGUACUGUUUGAUGCUGUUUGGGAUAUUUUUCAACUGUUCCGGCGCACAGCGUCAUUUUCUCGGCUUCCCAAUUAAUCUUCACCGGGAUUUAUGACCACUAUCCAAGGCGAAGGCGCACAGAACCCUCCGUCACCCCUUCUCCAACGCCCCUCUUUGGGAACGCUCCGGGAUGGGGACCGGGGGACUCCAGGGAACGAGCCCUCCUCGGCAGGCGACAGCAGCCCCGGUCUUCACGCCACAAAAGAUGCCUCAGUCGGGUUGGGUUUGAAAAGUCGCUGGGGCUAUUGUGACUGAGGCAAAGAAGAGAAAACAAAAGCAAAGAAAACCUUCUCAAAAAAUCUUGGAAUUGCUGCUGUUAAAAGGCUACUGUUUGUUUCUCAUUUCAUCUUUUGCUACGAAGGAAGAAGAAAUCGAAUGAUGUGUCUACAUCUGAUGAGAAGAAAAUACUAACAGUGUAGGUGCAUUUGUUUUUAUUGUUUCCCCUGAAAAAAAAAUUUUAAGUAUCCACCAAUUUAGUGAGUUGAAAGCUGUUGAGAUGUAAAAGAUGUUCACUU